rnacentral:lncRNA from 1 species
GGGCAUGUAGGAACAGUUGGAGGUUUGGCAUGGUGAGAAAAUCAUAUGGAGAGAAUUACUCAAAUUCUAUUAUUCUAGAGAGUUAAACCCAGGAAUGUAAUACAUAAAUAAGAAAAAUAAAAUAAUAAUCAAAAUGCAUUGCAUGAUUUUUCUUUCUUUCUUUCUUUUUUCCUUUUGUUUUUAAGGUUGAGCCUUAAAUGAAAGGAAGUUUCUGCUGUGCAUACAUAUCAAUUCUGUAUGAGAAUUUAGUCAUUGUACUUGGGUUGGUUAUAAUCUUGAAGAUAGUUAUUUUGAAGUGGUAAAAUUUAUCACACAAAACUGGUGCUACGAAAAAAAGGAUUUUGUCCAUCUAGUUAUCUUAAACUUAGAACAAGUAGUCCAUAAUUCUUUAGUUCUAGUUGUUACAUGCCUACUGGUUGCGAGUUCAUAAAAUAAGGAAGGUAUAGUUUGAUGAUUCUUUUUACUCAUCUUGUUGUUCCACAUGUUAGUUCACAUAUGUAUCCUGUUGAUGUUAACCAUCUAUUGAAGAUAUAUGUGAUUGCAUCCUCAUUCUCCCUUCUAUAUGUCAGUGCACUAAUUGGUGAGUAUAACACUGGAUACCUGUUUCAGUGCCAGAUAGCUUCAGAAUAGUUUCAAGCAUGUCUGUAAUACCUCUCUCCCACUUUUCACUGUACUUGUGUCUCAGACUUGCAUCUGAACUCUCUUCCAUAUGUUAGUGUGCUUAUUUGAGAGUAGCAAUAGACACCUGCUUCAGGGCCAGAUAACUUCAAAAUUGUUUCAAGCAUGUUCGUUGUUCCUAACUCUCUGUUGCCUCCCUCUUGGACUUGUGUUAAAAACAUCACAAAGAUAUACAUGAUGCCUGGAUUGGUUUACUAAUUAAUGUGCAAUUGCAUCUGAACUCUCUCUUCCAUAUGUUAGUGUGCUUAUUUGAGAGUAGCAAUAGACACCUGCUUCAGGGCCAGAUAACUUCAAAAUUGUUUCAAGCAUGUUCGUUGUUCCUAACUCUCUGUUGCCUCCCUCUUGGACUUGUGUUAAAAACAUCACAAAGAUAUACAUGAUGCCUGGAUUGGUUUACUAAUUAAUGUGCAAUUGCAUCUUAGGUCAUUAGGUUCCAUUACUCUAAAAUUUAUGGCUGUGGAUCCUUGUCAUAGUGCUAGAUAACUUCAAAAAAGUUUCAAGCAUCUUCAUUGCUUCUAUCUAUCUAUCUUUACGUGCAAGCAUGAAUAGAAUAAAUAAAUAAAUAAAUAAAAACCUAUUUAUCUAUCCUUAAGAUUUAUAGCAAUGGAUAUUUGUUAUAGUGCUUGAAACUUCUUUUCAUUGUUUCAUUGCUUCUUUACAGAUUUUUUAUUUUUUAAAUAAACAGUGUGUUUGGGAUAUCUUUCUUGCAAGUCCUCUCCCUAGAUUUCUCUCCUGUUUUUAAAAUUAAAUUUAAAUAGAGGAACAAACAUCUUCUUUACUUUCUUGUCCCUUUGGAAAUCUCCCUAUCCCCAGCCAACCCUCUUGCCACUUGAGCCAGGCCUCAAGGGCAAUGGCAGGAACCAACUUAUUGCUUGGGUAGUCUGGAAAAUGAUUUACGUUACUAUCAUUUUCCAGAAAGUACGGUGUAAGCAUGUAACAUAGAUGUCAGCCACUUUGCUGGAAAGCUUAUUGGCAUUUCUUGAGGUCUGAGUUUGAGUCCCUAUGUGAUCUAG